ACGGAUAAGCAUCCAUGACUUCGUGGGUCCACUUCCACCGCCCACCUCCCACCUCUCCGACACUCAAUAAAAAAAAUCUCUUCAGCCGCCGCACGAGGUGAGCAACUCAGAGCUAUGGCAAUGGCGGAGGCGGGAGGCGAUGGGUCAGGAUCCACCACUGCCCGUGGAGGUGAGGCCGUGUCGCCCGGAUCCGCCGUCACCGAAGCAGAGCAGCCCUGCGCUGCGCCGCGGGGAUCUGCCACCUCCAGACGAGCAGCAUGAAGUAGGCCGAUGGCUCCCGAGCAGGAGACGCGCCGCCGCGAGACGAGACCGCACAGCCGGGAACCUUACCACCCUUAGGGUGGCGAGGCCGACGCCGCCGCGGCUCCUGCCGGCGGCGAAGUAGAGGUGCUGGCGGGAGGGGGGAGGCUGCUGGCGGCGGCGCUACGUUACUCCCAGGUCACUUGCUCUGGAGCGACACGGGAGUCGGAGGCAAGCCCGUACAACUUAAACUUGCACACACGUCAUGAUAUCAGAGGAUACCAGAUGAUCAUGGGUGUGCUGCAUACAUGUGGGAUAUGCUGAAGAAGGAGAUUCAUGUUCUUGAGUCAUUGUGCACUCAAGUUCCUGGAGGAGUGCAGCGGCAUAUGAUCCACAAGGAGUCUGUCUCACAGAUUCAGUCGGCAUUAUUCAGCUGCCUAUGGUGAGUUCUCUCCGAAAUGUCAUUGUCCAGCUGACAGAUGGAAGGGCAGGUUCCCCAAGCUAAUGUUAAGCCUCAACUAGAUGAUGACCCAACUACACUCAAAUUCAGAUAAGCAUCAAGAGAAGGAAGGAAGUUGAGGAACUUUGCUUAGGGUUUGUAGCACCCAAAGAGGAACAGGUUGAGCCAGCCGGGGCACGGCAGCUGGGGUUUAACCCUAUUACAAUUCUAGAUGCCUCUACCGAUCUCCAAAUCCUGGGUUUAUAGCCAUUAGAAAACAGAAGGUAAACUGAAAGGUAAAAAGAGAGCAGGUGAAGUUGCUGGACCAUCAACAGCGACCCUUGACGCGACGGCUGCCGUCUGAUGGAAGAUCAACGUCUCUCAGCAGCUGCCUCUGGUGCGAACCUGUAAGUGGAGGCCAGCGUCGUUGGAUGUGAACUGGAUGGUGGAGUUUGAAUCAACAGCUGAAGCGAUAACCUGCAGUUAACUGAAGAUGGGCUAUUGUUGAUCUUCAGAUAAGGGGCCUGACAGAUAACACGCGAUGUUUUCACUAGUGACAAGUCUAGGAUGUGUAUGCUUCAUGCAAUCAGGCAGUACGAUGGAGAUAAGAUGAUGUGGCCAUUGAUGAAAGGUUCAUAGUCUAUUUAACUUUCUUACUUCUUUCAUAAAUUUGUCGGAUGAGAAUUUUCGCAGCCAGAGCUUGCAUGCUGUUUUGGCUUUGAAAGCUGCAGAAAAACUUGGCCACUUUUUGGCAAACAGCUGGUGUUGAGGUAUUUCGUUUGCAUGACGAGCACGGAAAUUGUGGCUGACAAUGUGUUACGGGCUACUCUAGAAGACCAUGAGGAAUGAGUGUUAUUGUCGAUGCUUAUGUAGUGUGCAAAUUGUUCAUCACCUUGUGAGGGUUUGGAUGCAGAGACUGGGCGGCCAUGAGAGAGCAACAGGUGGACUAAAAUGGAGUUGGUGGCCGAUCCCAGCCCGUCUACAACCCACAACGGGCGUUACGUGCCGUUUGCAACAUUAGCACUACAUCGGCUCCUCCCGUCCACAAUAGGCAUUAAAUGAGGCGACGUAAAUACCAAGCAAUAUAGCGUACGUCUCAUAUCCUCGAACGAGUGGAUGGCUCGUGAUAACAUGAUCAGGCGAGCUCGUCCACGCCAAUAAGUUUCCGCGUGGGAACGUGUUUUUGUAUGGAUGGGUGUAUGUGCAUGUAUAUGAGCAUAUGUGAUUGUAUCAUGUUCGGAGAAAGAAAAAGAUAGGUGUUUUAAUCA